AACGAUGUAACAUAUUAUUAUUAUGUCAGUGACCGAAUCGAAACCAGUUUUACAUGUUCAGAUCAAAACACUAAGUUGGAACCUAAAUGUUAUACUGUCUACGAUGCUGGAGUUCUUAAUUUAUUAUUUGUUUGGCGCCAUUUGUUUUGUUAUUAUUUACGAAGUUAUACUUUACUGUCGAAAUGAUCAUAGUUUAUUUUACGCAGGAGUGAAAGUCUUCGUGAGAUUAUGGAAAAAAGAAAUGGCGCCGACGGUGUCAUUUUUAAAAGUCGUGGACGUGACAAGCCAUGAGGAAGAUCUUGUUUAGAAAUAUUUACAUAGCGGGUGCUCGGCGGACUGCAAUGAAGAUAUACUUCUAUCUCAUUUUGUCUGUCUGAGACACAAACCUCUAUAGGUAUGUUGUUAGGUCAAACUUUUGUUAAUUUGUUUUAUUUAAAUAAACGUAAAUUAUGUUU